GGCUUCGUUGCCCCGAUUCCUGAAUGGAUUUGGCUUACGGGAGACACUGGCCAAUCCAAAGGGACGUGAGCCUCUGGAAAGAUGCCCAGAGGAACAAGGGAAAUUUGCGUAUGUGGCUGAAACAGCCUGGACAGAGAGCCUUCUGGAGAGGCUGGUCCUUCAUUUCCUCACCGUGUCAAGCUGCUCGAACUCAAUAAACACUUGUUGACUGAAUGAAUGGGUCAUAGAAAUGGAAUUGAAAUUUAAGUAGCUACAUGAGACUAGUGGCUACUAUAUUGAACAAUGCAAGUCCUUAAUAUAAGGAUGAGAAAAACACCUGCCCCCUCGUCCUGGGAUGAGAAGGACCCCUAAUGUGUGCAUAGAGCUUGGCAGAUGAGAGAUGCUCACUGCUUCUUCACUUCCUUCUCCUCUCCUGACUCCUCCAAAUGAGAUGAGUGUCUUUGAGUGGAAGAAUUUCCCUUUAGAGACAUUCAACUCCCCUGUGGACACUGGCUGGAGAAGUGGAUGAGUGGUAGGGGGAGAGACCCUGGGAGCUUCUGUGAUGGACAGGCUCGGAGAGCAGAGGACAAGGCCAGCUCAGAGAAGGACAAAAAUGACUGCAUCUGCCAAAUCCCACCUCUAUUUUUGGUGUUUACAGGCACUAGUGCUGGAAAGGGGCCCAUCUUCGAAAUUCCUUUUCUUUGCAUAGAGUGGUUAAGAUCAUGGGCUCUAGAAUCAGAUGGUUCUAGGUUAGUGUUUCAGUUCCAUUAGUUACCAGCUGUGAGACCUUGGGCAGGUUGCCAGCUUCUCUGCUACUCAUCUGUAAAAGAAGCAGAAUAAUGUCUACAUCUGAGGAUUUUGUGAGUAAUCAAUGAGCUAAUAUGUGCAAAGCUCUUUACAGGAGACCCGGCAGAUAUCAAGUGCUUAAAAAACAGAUGCCACGGCCAAUCUUAUGUAAACAGAGCCUCUUAACGUCCACGCCCAUGCAGACCAGAGUCCAGUGAGAUGUCUGCAAAGCCCAUGAUUCCACAUCUCCAGACAAUCUCUUUUUUGGUGGUCUUCAGAGUGAGGCAGUGACCACACACAGAAACAAGUCCUGGUAUCCUCAGACGGCAGCUGACCCAUCAAAUUUGACACUUGGAAGCCAUCCUGAAGUUUCUAGUGCUUGGAUCUCCUUUCCAUUGCCCUUGCCAAAUGGAAAUCUCCUAGGACUCAUCCAGAGGCAGGAGCUCUGAGGCCUGGGGGCUCAGGGAUGGCUGCCUCUCUGCGACUUCUCACCCCUGGUCCUGGUGGAGUCUCCACUUUCCAGACUCAUUUUCCCUUCAUUGUUUCCCCAGGCUGGAGGCGUCUGCAGAUCAGCCCUGGUCAAAAUGCCCAGCACAGGAGCUGGCUUCCAUAGGUCAGGGGCAGAGUAAUCUUUGCUGAACUGGAAGAGCUAAAACUCAAAAACUAACACCUGUCCCUGGUUAAUAGCCAAGGAUGACUUUCAUCAGUGUGUCUUAUUUUGUGGGCAAAGAAACUGGGUGAUUGGUUCAUCCAUCUGCUCAUCCACUUCCUCACUGGACAAUAGUUACUAAGCACCUACUGUGUGCCAAGUCCUAGGAACACAAAAAUGGAUUCCUGUCCUUAAACUUCACAAGUUGGUGGGGGAGACAGCUAUACUGAAAUUAAUUGUAACAGUGUGAUAUGGGCUAUUAGGUCAGGACUAGGAUGAGAAGAGGUGAAUAAGACACUUACCUCAGGGUCAAAUUCAGUGUGGUGCCAAAAUCCAAAAUCUCAGUAAACAAGAUAAAUAAUAUUUUAAUACCGUUUUUUUUUUUUUGAGACGGAGUUUCACUCUUGUGCCCCAGGCUGGAGUGCGAUGGUGCAAUCUCGGCUCACUGCAACCUCCGCCUCCCAGGUUCAAGCGAUUCUUCUGCCUUGGCCUCCCAAGGAGCUGGGAUUAUAUGCGCGCGCCACCACAUCUGGCUAAUUUUUUGUAUUUUUGGUAGAGACGGGGUUUCACCAUGUUGGACAGGCUGGUCUCAAACUCCUGACCUCAGGUUAUCCACCCCGCUCAGCCUCCCAAAGUGCUGGGAUUAUAGGCAUGAGCCACCGCGCCCAGCCGAGAUCAAACUUUUAAAUGAAGACAGGAUCAGUGUUAUUAAUUUUUCCUUUUGCUUCAGGCUCCAACAUGGCUUGGCAUGGCACUGUAUUAUGAGGGCUGUAUGGGGGUGUGGCUGCUGUGAGACAGAAAAGACAUCUGAUCCAGUCAGUGAUGUGCUGGAAUUGGCCCAGACCAGCUGGCACGCCUCUUCCCAAAUUUACUCUCAAAGACUGCAUGUUGUCAGCUCAAAAUUGGCCACGAUGGGCAUCUUUACACCAUGGAAAUUGGCAGAUGCUAAAAAUAAGGACUUUUUCCCUCCCUUUUCAGAAAGUUGGCUGUUAAAUAUUUACCAACACACUGCUAUAUGCAGCCUGCAGUGGGGUGGGAUGAGGCAGGUGUGGGGGAUUUAAGAAAGGUUCCCCAGAGGAGAUACUUUCUGACUCUUGCAGAAUAAAAAUCUAGAAAAGGAGAGAAAAAACAUCCCCCCUACCCUAGCCAAAGAAGGAAAUUAAUAUGCAAAGCACCAGAGGAAUGGGAAAACCUGUAUUUUAUUUAAGAAACUGCAAGGAGCUGAGUGUAGCUGGAAUGUGUGAUGCUGUGGAAGAAGGAAGUUUUGAGGAGGCCACGGCACCAAAUCAUGACCCCAAAUUGAGCAAGAUCUGGGUCUAUGCUCAAGGGAUUCGACUGUAGAUCCAGUGGAGAAGGAGGGAGGGAGCUGCUUCUGAAUUGUCCACAGUACUGGCCUAGGUAAGAGAUGGAAGUGUGAGCUAAUAAAUGUUUUUAGAAGGAGUUUCGCUCUUGUUGCCCAGGCUAGAGUGCAAUGGCUCAAUCUUAACUCACCGCAACCUUCGCCUCCCAGGUUCAAGCGAUUCUCCGGCCUCAGCCUCCCGAGUAGCUGGGACUACAGGCAUGCGCCAGUAUGCCUGGCUAAUUUUGUAUUUUUGGUAGAGACGGGGUUUCUCCAUGUUGGUCAGGCUGGUCUCAAACUCCCGACCUCAGGUGAUCCGCCUGCCUCGGCCUCCCAAAGUGCUGGGAUUACAGGCGUGAGCCACUGUGCCCAGGUGCUAAUAAAUGCUUAAUACCAGGGUCUCUGGGGGGAAAAGAGCCCUAAUUAAUAGCAUUUGCUAAUUUCUGAGGUGUAAAUACUCCCAUCACAGCCUGUUUGAAGCUACCUUGGUGAGGUCACUAAACACCAAGUUGAGAAGAGGUGCUUGGUAGCGUGUCAUUAUAUUGAAUUUCCACCCCCACACUUACAGUAGAUGUAAAUAACUUCAAGCCUAUAGAAAACAGUAAAAUAUAGUAAAAUAACUUGAAAGAGAUGAGUUUGGGGUAUGUAUCACUUUUACUUUUAAUAUAACUGACCUAAUUGUAAGUUUACACAAUUAAAGUUUUAAUAAUGGCUUGUUUAACAGCAGCUCACACGAUUCUUGAAAAUUUAGCCGUCUGUCCUCUUGAGCUUAUUCCAGGUUUCUCCCCCUGGGAGAAGGGAUUUUGGUCCAUUUCUAUGGAAGUGCUGGGGGCUCUCAGAUGUCCUGGGCUUCAUUUUACUAACCCGAGGGACUAGAGCAGGUUUACCAUGAAGUCCUAAGGAUCCCACACAUCCAAGACUCUGGGUGGCUUCCUGGGAUAAGGCAGCAGUCCCCAGGACACCAAAGUUAAGAGCAAAUGCUUCUCAGAGAGAUUUUCAUCCAGGAAAAAGAACAGUGUGAUGCCAGCUUUGGCAUAAUAUUUCAUGUCCUCAUCAGCUGUUCACUUCAAGAAUGCUGUUUUAUUCGGAAGCCA
rnacentral:lncRNA from 10 species